GCCAACUUAGCUCAGCUGGUAGAGCAUCUCCCUUGUAACGAGAAGGUCUAGGGUUCGAGUCCCUAAGUUGGCU
rnacentral:tRNA from 1 species